rnacentral:rRNA from 1 species
CGGCGGACGGGUGAGUAACACGUGGAUAACCUACCUAUAAGACUGGGAUAACUUCGGGAAACCGGAGCUAAUACCGGAUAAUAUAUUGAACCGCAUGGUUCAAUAGUGAAAGACGGUUUUGCUGUCACUUAUAGAUGGAUCCGCGCCGCAUUAGCUAGUUGGUAAGGUAACGGCUUACCAAGGCAACGAUGCGUAGCCAACCUGAGAGGGUGAUCGGCCACACUGGAACUGAGACACGGUCCAG